GACAGAGGAGGCGAUCGUUGUUCGGAAUUACUGGGCUUAAAGGGCGAGUAGGCGGUGGAGCAAGUCUGAGGUGGAAUCCUACGGCUUAACCGUAGAACUGCCUUGGAAACUGUUUUACUUGAGUCAGUGAGGGGAGGGCGGAAUUCCUGGUGUAGCGGUGAAAUGCGUAGAUAUCAGGAGGAAGGCCUGUGGCGAAAGUGGCCCUCUGGCACUGUACUGACGCUGAGGCGCGAAAGCGUGGGGAGAAAACAGG
rnacentral:rRNA from 1 species